AGUUGAUAACAUUUUAAAGGAAUUUUUAAAAUAUUUUUAAAAAGUGGUUUUCAGCAACUUUAUCCAAGCUGUUAAUGAGGAGGAUUAUGAAUUGAACAAUAGUAUUUCUAAACUGUUAAGCUUAGUGGCUUUAACAGAAGCAGUGUAAUGCCCAAGACUAAUUGUAAUGCCACUAUUCGUCAUGGCCAC
rnacentral:lncRNA from 1 species